CAAGUCGAGCGAAGCGAUUUUAAGGAAGCCUUCGGGUGGCAUUAAAAUUGACUUAGCGGCGGACGGGUGAGUAACGCGUGGGUAACCUGCCUCAUACAGGGGGAUAACAGUUAGAAAUGACUGCUAAUACCGCAUAAGCGCACAGUGCUGCAUAGUACAGUGUGAAAAACUCCGGUGGUAUGAGAUGGACCCGCGUCUGAUUAGGUAGUUGGUGAGGUAACGGCCCACCAAGCCGACGAUCAGUAGCCGACCCGAGAGGGUGACCGGCCACAUUGGGACUGAGACACGGCCCAAACUCCUACGGGAGGCAGCAGUGGGGAAUAUUGGACAAUGGGGGAAAUUUUUUUUCAGCGACGCCGCGUGACUGAAGAAGUAUUUCGGUAUGUAAAGGUCUAUCAGCAGGGAAGAAAAUGACGGUACCUGACUAAGAAGCCCCGGCUAACUACGUGCCAGCAGCCGCGGUAA
rnacentral:rRNA from 1 species